UGUCAGGGUCCCUGUGUGCAUGUGUGAGUGCGAGUAACGCAUCUCUUCCAGCGAGGAUCUUGGUGGAGAGCCUGGGCAGCCUUCACAGGUGGAGCUCCUCUGCCUCAUCAGAGUGCUGGGAGCAGCAGAGCCUUCACUCAGUGCUGGAUGAUUAACGUCUACAGGAUUUGUCACUGGAUCUUUCUGGAGGAAUCAGUUCAACCAUUUUCUCCUCCUGUGGAACCCACCAGUAAGGACCUGCCUGCCUGCUCCACUGUUCCCCCCCAUCUCCACUCUGCUCAUCAGACCUCUGGUUCUCGGUCACCACCUACCUCGCACUCGCCUCAGGAAGCGCCAUCACCACUCUCCACAUAGGACCCCUGGGCACCUCUCUCCCACGCUUCACCAAACCCAUUCGAAAGCGCCACGGAUUGCAUGUUGGUGACACUAACCACUCCCAGAAACGUCAAGGAAACCUGUUAAUUGUUUGUUCCUUUGAAAGAAAAUAAAACCUAUUUAUUACUUGGA